GAUUUCUGGCUUAGUGCGUCUGGCCCGCCUCGGUAACGAGUGUGUGUGCCGGAUCGUGCUUGCCAUCUUUCUGGAAAGCAUAGGUACCCUUAACUGGGCCGCCUAUGUGCUCCAGAUCUUUUACUUUGAAAAAAUUAGAGUGUUUAAAGCAGGCUUGUGCUAUGAAUACAUUAGCAUGGAAUAAUAAUCUAGGACUUUGGUUCUAUUUUGUUGGUUUCUAGGACUGAAGUAAUGAUUGAUAGGGAUAGUUGGGGGUGCUAGUAUUCAGCGGCCAGAGGUGAAAUUCUCGGAUUCGCUGAAGACUAACUUAUGCGAAAGCAUU
rnacentral:rRNA from 1 species